rnacentral:rRNA from 1 species
UACGAAGGGUGCAAGCGUUAAUCGGCCUUCCUGUUCUUCCCUCUCUCUUAGGUGGUUCAGCAAGUUGGAUGUGAAAGCCCUGGGCUCAACCUGGGAACUGCAUCCAAAACUACUGAGCUAGAGUACGGUAGAGGGUAGUGGAAUUUCCUGUGUAGCGGUGAAAUGCGUAGAUAUAGGAAGGAACACCAGUGGCGAA